rnacentral:pre_miRNA from 1 species
UCCUUCAGUGUUGAAACAAUCUCUAUUGAACCAGCUUCAAACAAGUUCACUGGAGUUUGUUUCAAUAUUGCAAGAA